AUUGAACGCUGGCGGCAGGCCUAACACAUGCAAGUCGAACGAGUGGCAGACGGGUGAGUAAUGUCUGGGAAACUGCCCGAUGGAGGGGGCUAACUACUGGAAACGGUAGCUAAUACCGCAUACCAUCGGAUUCGCACGGAUGGGAUUAGCUCGUAGGUGGGGUAACGGCUCAUCUAGGCGACGAUCCCUAGCUGGUCUGAGAGGAUGACCAGCCACACUGGAACUGAGACACGGUCCAGAUUCCUACGGGUGGCAGCAGUGGGGAAUAUUGCACAAUGGGCGCAAGCCUGAUGCAGCCAUGCCGCGUGUAUGAAGAAGGCCUUCGGGUUGUAAAGUACUUUCAGCGAGGAGGCGUUACUCGCAGAAGAAGCACCGGCGAAAAAGGUGCCAGCAGCCGCGGUAAUAC
rnacentral:rRNA from 1 species